CCACCCAAAAUUAAUCCCAGCCAGCGCCCGUCAAGCCGCAGCCAGCGCCCGCAUUGCCGCCGCAGUCAGAUCGAGACAUGGCGCCGCAGCUGACCGGCGCGCCCGGCUCGGCGGCGGCGGGCCGAGCCUCCGCGCUCGUUAAGCCGCAGUUCCACCACUACCACCACCACCGCCUCCCCCGCGCCACCACCACCACCCCUCGCUCCUCUCCAAGCCCGCCUUCUGGUCCGUCUGCUCCCUCUCGCUGCUCCUCGCCUUCCUCAUCCUCCUCCACCUCUCCACGCCGGCGAUCGCCGUCGCGCGUCCUCCUCGACGACACCCCCUCCCCCCGGACCAGGCGAUGAAGCUGAAGAUCAACAAGGCGUGCGACCUCGCCUCCAUCUCCGUCCUCCCUCCCCGGAGGAACCGGGGGAGCGGCGGUGGCGGGGCCAGCGCUUCCGCGUUGGCCGCGGCGGCGUCGCAGCAGCGGUCCCGGUCGAUGUCGCAGAAGUCCUUCUAGCAGGGAGGGGGCGGGUCGUUCUCGCAGAGCGUCGGUGCGUCCUUCUCUCAGGGCGGAGGCAGCGGAGCCGUGUCCUUCUCUCAGGGCAGAGGCGGCGGUGGCGCGCUCUUCUCGCAAGGCAGCGGAGGAGCGGCGUUCUCUCAGGUCGGUGGGGCCGGAGGCGCGGCGUUCUCUCAGAUCGGUGGAGGUGGAGGCGGCUCGUUCUCUCAGGGCGGAGCUGACGGAGGCGCUGCCUUCUCUCAGGGCGUAGGAGGCGGCGGAGGCGCGGCCUUCUCUCAGGGCGGCGACGGAGGAGGCGCGGCGUUCUCUCAGGGCGGUGGCAGCUUGCCGCUCUUGCAUUCGCAGUCGCAGAUCUCCCAGGCCUCCCUCGACGAGAACCUCCUCAGCCCUCGCCAUCCCUCCCCCGCGCGCGAUCAGCAGGCAUACAGAAAAAGUUUGUGCUCGUAGAGACCUCUCUCCAGCAAAUUCUUAAGGGACAAGACGAUCUCAAGGUGCUCUUUGAAGGCAGCACAAAAAGCAAUCCUGACCAGAUGAGUGCUCUGAACAACCACACCAGCAAACUCGAUGAGAUAUUAUCGACACUUUCAAUCCUGAAGCAAAUGCAGGAAGAUUUGAGGCAAUUGAAGGGUGGCAUCUUCAGAAUCUUUACAAAAGAGAUGGAGGUACAAUUGCUAUGAUCAACCACAAGGGAUUGUUAGAGCUAUCAGUUCUCUCAAUAGUUGGCCUGAUGCAAUGCAAGCACCGAUAGCAUGUGUCCUUGUUACCCAACUGAUUAAAUGCACAAGUAUUGCAGCAUUCCCCUCUUCUCUUUUUUUCUUUGCUUUGCUGACGUUUCCUUUAUUUUUACAGAUUUGCUAUUUAUCUGUAAGACUGUUUCCUUGUUGCACAGCCGGUUCAUUGGUGAGAGUAGCUUACCUGUUGUGCUUUAACAGGUCCACAGAUUUUAUGCCCGGUUAUCCUUUAAUUUCCCCCCCUUUGUUGCUGCGUGUAUACUAGUUUUUCAUUUUAUCCAACCUGGUAGAAAGAGCCGCAGGGAUUAUUAUCCAGGAGGUGCUUGUACCCCUUCCCAGAGCCCGUUUUUUACAUAUCAUACAGUACGAUUUGGUGUGCACCUGGUGAAUUGCUGCUAAAAUCAAUUCUGUAGCUUCAGCCUACCUGCUAUUACCUCUGUUUACUUGGCUAAAACAUGCUUUUUGGUAGUAUAAUUUUCAUCUCCGUUUUGCUGAAUCAUAUCACUACUUCUCUCAAGGUACAAUGCUCAGUACUCAAGGUGAUGCUGCUCACUGAUGCAAAUGGUACAAUGCUCAGUACUCAAGGUGAUGCUGCUCACUGAUGCCGUACAAUCUCAGUCGUCUGGGUACAACUGAAGAUGAUAUUGAUCAGUGAUGAUGUUCGAAGUCGGAACAUGGUGAUGAUUUUGACAUUAUACAAACUGAGAGUGUCAUAAUUUUCGUCUCCGUUUUGCUCUGUGAGAUAUAGUGACAUAUUAUGUUGGGCGCGACAAAGAUUCUUGUAUGACAGUGUGUAUGACAGUAUAUAUGUUGGUACUGUGUUCUUAUUCUUUGUAUGACAGCAUGUGCUCAUUCUUGUAUGACAUAAUGUUCAUAUUGUGUGCUCAUUCUUGUAUGACAGUG